CCAAGAGGUCUCUGCCUGCAGUUGCAUCAGUGCUGAGAGGCAGGAAAGAGGUUUCUGAUCGACCCAGUGUAGCAACCCGAAUUAGCAGCGCUGGCCUUCAGGCUGUGAGCCGAGCUCUCACGUCCGCCCAUGUACGUACAUUUGUGAGGGGACCGAGGCUCCUGCCUGAGCCCUGUGCCUGCCUGUGUGUAGGGUUCCACCUGGCAGGGCUCCAGCUGGCAGGGCUGGCUUUGCUCUAGAUAGGCCAGGGACUGGUGACUCAGUUCUGCCUUAUCUGGGGGAGCGUGGGGCCCUCACCACUGGCUGAGGAGAGAGGGAGACACCCAGCGGAGCAGCCUUGUCCCCCGCAGCCCUGGGGUUCUUGCUGAAGAGCCCCUGAGCCUUGCACGGCAACAGACACGGCUCAGCCCUCUUGGUCCAAAUGCCAGCUUCCCCGGCCCCUGCUGCUCCUCGGAGCCAGAGCCAGGCAUGGCAGGAUGCCUGUGCUACACUUGUCCUUGUGCUGCCUCUGCCUACCCGGGGAGAGAGAGGUGGAAAAAAUGUAACAGACGGGGGUAAUCCAAAACUGGGACAGGGUCAUGUGCUGGAGGCAGGUGGAGAAUGUUGGCUUCUAGACCCAGGGGCAUUUGGCUGCGUGUUACCUGCCUGGAAAGAGAGAGGAGCGAGCCCCAGCUGAGCAGCUGGGCUUGAUGCUGUGAACACAGGUGCUCAAGGCAGGGCUGUUCCCACCUGCAGCUGCUUUUGCCUCUGGGCUGCUGAAAAGGCCGGUGUGGAAGGGAGGCUACAGGGCUAUGGCUGCCUCGGUGAGGGAGAGUGUCUGUGUGCAGGAGGGGGAGCCCCACAGCAGGGCCAGUGGUGUGGGGAGGGCAAGGGGAAGGGAGGUGGUUUUUUCUCUGAGCAGCAUCCUGUUUCCAGAAUCACCCCCUUCCCUCAUUUUCUCAGCUGCAGACCCUAGGUCUCUCACCCAGAGAGGUAGGCCCCAGAUCUUCCCUCAUAGCCCAGGCUCUUUGCUAUUGUCAGCCCCAUGGCUCCUCUCCGUCUGCUGCUAUCGUGAGCUUCUAUAUUUAACACAAGAUUUCUGUCUGCGGCAGAGGGCAUUUUCUGAGGUAAAGUUAAAUACAUGGCAAAACCUUCAGAAGCGGAGCCUUGAAAACAUAAUUGCUCUAUCCUGAUUGCCUGUGUUAUUAUUCAAAUAGAUAGCUGAAUGAAGGUCAGCUCUUGAAUAGGUUUGAAUUUUGAUGGUGCUGUGAAUGAACUGUCUCCUAGUCCCAGAAAGCUGCAAGAUGAAGUCUUUUGUACUGCAGAGGGAAGCUUUGAAGAAUCCCAGUGAUGUCUGAGUCCCUGAAACUUGUGCCACACAAGAGCACAGCUUGCAGUCACUGAGGAAUACAGCCGUGGAAGGUGGGUGCUGGGUUGCUCCUGAGCUGUGCUUGUCCCAUCAGCUUCCUCUGCUUCCUCCCUGUCCCUGGGGGCAGGUGGACACCUGCUGCCUGUGCUCUCAGAGAAGGCAGGAACCUCACCGCCAACCUCAGCCAACACAGGAAUGGGCCUCACAGCACACUACACUACACUACAGAGCCAUCUGUGAAGCUCCACCCAUGUAACGUGCAUUUUUCAUGUUCUCUUUCCAUAUGUGGGUCAGAAUAACAGAGAAAGGCUUCAGGAGCUAUGCUGACCAGGCUUUAAGACUGGCUGUUGGAAGAAAGCCUUCCUCAGAAGUUGGCACCGAUUUGUCAAAUCAUGUUUUUUCCCCUGAUCUAAGCAUGCCAGCUCAGCUGGAGCAGCUUUGAACGAGGGUGGUCUGAAACAGCUCGCUGAAACCGGUCGUUGGAGGACAAUAUUCCCACCCCUGUUUGUACUGCAGCAAUAUUUCAUUGGAUUAGCGCUGGAUGCAGCUCUGGCAAACUAAUGUACAUCCAUACCAAUUUGCGCAACUGUCUGCAGGUACUCCCCUUGGGACUGCACUCCGCAGUGACUUGGUGUUAGUCAUUGUUUUCCCAUGACUCUGUGCUUUUUAAGCCAAAUGCUUGAUAUUCCAGGCAGGUGACAUAUGGUGCAACUUUCUGCUGCUGCAAGCAGAGAAAGUCAGAUGCAGCCCACGGAAAUACUGAGUUAGGAAGGUGUGGCUUUCUGAUGGUUCACACAGGUCCUCAGGCUGAAAUCUGAAAGACAGAGCUGCCUCAGCUUCACCCAUCUCCUUCUCUCGUGGAAAAUAAAGUGGCUGCAGAGGGCAUUUUCUUGGGACUUUUUCUCAUAACAAAACCACGGCAUUUCCUGCUGCAUUCCCUGAGAUAAGAGCAUAUGGAUCUGAGAGAAAUGAAGGGGAAGUAAAAGAACUGCAGCUGAUGUAUUUGUCCUCUACUGAUGGAAGUCAAGAAAGUUUAUCCAGUAACACUUCAAGCAUUUGGGAGUGCAAACAAAAAAGUGAACUGCUGUCUUCAAAUACCACUACUUUUUUCUUUUGGCAGUUAGCAGGUUUAGAAAAGCCUCUGUGAUUCUCAGCUAGAAGUAAAGUUUCAUGUGCGUUAUAUUAAGUCGUUAAUUGUGUCGUUCAUUUUACAGCCUUUCCCUGAAUGGCCCGAUGGAAAUGAAUGGAUUUUAAUCUAGAGGAGGAAAAAAAAGAAGGAGUUAAAUGUUUGAAAGGUUGUUCUUUUUCAGCGCUCGCAGUUCAGAACAUAAGUUGCGUGUUUAAAACAAACAAAAUGUCUUUCCUGGAAUUAUGACCUGGCCAAUUUGUAGUUUGGUAUUCCCUGCCAGGAUGUGGUAGCUUGCUAUGUGACUGAUGGAGGGUUUAAAGGGGCGAUUUGCUGUUUUGAAGAAGCAAAGGAAGGCAAUGGGUCUGUAGGAGAAGAUGAAAGUGAAAAGUGUUCUCACUAGUUUGGCCAUUGACAUGUAUUCAGUCAUUCAUUAAAGCUUAUUCAUGAAAUUCAUUAUUCAUUAAGGAACUUUUGGGGAGUGGAAAGAGCCAAACAGCAGCAGUCAUUAUUUACUCUAGCAAUUCCAUCACGGAGUUGCAUCGUGAGGCCGGAUUCUUCUCUGCAUUCAGCAGUUCAGUUUCACUGACAUCAUGGAAUGGAUACCGAUUUAGGACUGAUCUGUGGCAGAGCAGAAUCCAGCCCGUACUGCUUUUCUGAGAGGGUGCCUUGGGCACUUUCUUCGCUGCUUUAUUGCUGGCUAGGUUUCAGGAUGCUUUAAAAUGGAUAAAAAAUUAAAGAAGUAUGACAAAUGGAUCUUUUCCCAGUGUGAUGUUCAACUGUGUCAUUCCAUUGAGAUAGUUAGUAGGGAAUGGAUGUGAAAAGCAUUCACAUUAAUAAUUAGCAGUUCAUUUUAAGAGGUUUAUAUAUAGAUAUAUAUAUAUUAUUUUUUCCUACAAUCCUGCCAGUUUUUAAGCAAACAAUUUAAAUGUUCAGUCCUCACAUAAAAGAUUCAGGGUGACAGCAGGGGACAGGGAGAGAUCACACCAAAGCUCUUAUUAUGUUCAUGUGAUAUACAGUGCAUAAUAUCACAGUAGUCAGUAAUGGGAAAGAACUAGUAAAUCACUGAAUUCAUGCCUUUGCAAGGAGAACUGCAUUAGGUAAUGAUCAUCCUUCAUAGCAGCACUGAAAUUCUUCUUCCAAACUGUGAUUUUCAGCUGAAUCUCACUGAUGGAGCAGCACACAUGCAGCUGGAUGAG
ensembl:lncRNA